GAUGAACGCUGGCGGCGUGCCUAAUACAUGCAAGUCGAGCGAACAGACGAGGAGCUUGCUCCUCUGACGUUAGCGGCGGACGGGUGUGUAACACGUGGAUAACCUACCUAUAAGACUGGGAUAACUUCGGGAAACCGGAGCUAAUACCGGAUAAUAUAUUGAACCGCAUGGUUCAAUAGUGAAUGACGGUUUUGCUGUCACUUAUAGAUGGUUCCGCGCGGCAUUAGCUAGUUGGUAAGGUAACGGCUUACCAAGGCAACGAUGCGUAGCCGACCUGAUAGGGGGAUCGGCCACACGGGAACUGAGACACGGACAAGAGUCCUACGGGAGGCAGCAGAAGGGAAUGUGCCGCAAUGGGCGAAAGCAUGACGGAGCAACGGCGCGUGAGUGAUGAAGGUCUUCGGAUCGUAAAACGCUGUUAUUAGGGAAGAACAAAUGUGUAAGGAACUAAGCACGGAGUGACGGUACCGAAUAAGAAAGCCACGGCUAACUACGUG
rnacentral:rRNA from 1 species